rnacentral:rRNA from 1 species
CAGGGAUUGCCUUAGUAACGGCGAGUGAAGCGGCAAUAGCUCAAAUUUGAAAUCUGGCGCUUGCGUCCGAGUUGUAAUUUGUAGAGGAUGAUUUUGGUUAGGUACCUUUCGAGUUCCUUGGAACAGGACGCCUUAGAGGGUGAGAGCCCCGUACGAUUGGAUGCCGAGCCUCUGUAAAUCUCCUUCGACGAGUCGAGUAGUUUGGGAAUGCUGCUCUAAAUGGGAGGUAAAUUUCUUCUAAAGCUAAAUACCGGCCAGAGACCGAUAGCGCACAAGUAGAGUGAUCGAAAGAUGAAAAGCACUUUGAAAAGAGGGUUAAAUAGCACGUGAAAUUGUUGAAAGGGAAGGAUUUAUGACCAGACUUUUUCUAGGAGGAUCAUCCGGUGUUCUCACCGGUGCACUUCUUCUAGUUUAGGCCAGCAUCGACUUCCGGCGGCGGAUAAAAGCUUUAGGAAUGUGGCUCCCUACGGGGAGUGUUAUAGCCUAUUGUAUAAUACGCUGCUGGGGGUCGAGGUACGCGCUUCUGCAAGGAUGCUGGCGUAAUGGUUAUCAAUCACCCGUCUUGAAACACGGACCAAGGAGUCGAACAUUUAUGCGAGUGUUUGGGUGUUAAACCCUCACGCGUAAUGAAAGUGAACGGAGGUGAGAGCCCUUACGGGUGCAUCAUCGACCGAUCCUGAAGUUUUCGGAUGGAUUUGAGUAAGAGCAUAACUGUUCGGACCCGAAAGAUGGUGAACUAUGCGUGGAUAGGGUGAAGCCAGAGGAAACUCUGGUGGAGGCUCGCAGCGGUUCUGACGUGCAAAUCGAUCGUCAAAUCUGCGCAUGGGG